GACGAACGCUGGCGGCGUGCUUAACACAUGCAAGUCGAACGAUGAAGCCGGAGCUUGCUCUGGUGAAUUAGUGGCGAACGGGUGAGUAACACGUGAGUAACCUGCCCUUGACUCUGGGAUAACUGCGGGAAACUGUAGCUAAUACCGGAUACGACCCUCGGAGGCAUCUCCUGGGGGUGGAAAGAAUUUCGGUCAAGGAUGGACUCGCGGCCUAUCAGCUAGUUGGUGAGGUAAAGGCUCACCAAGGCGACGACGGGUAGCCGGCCUGAGAGGGUGACCGGCCACACUGGGACUGAGACACUGCCCAGACUCCUACGGGAGGCAGCAGUGGGGAAUAUUGCAUAAUGGGCGCAAGCCUGAUGCAGCAACGCCGCGUGAGGGAUGACGGCCUUCGGGUUGUAAACCUCUUUUAGCAGGGAGGAAGCGAAAGUGACGGUACCUGCAGAAAAAGCACCGGCUAACUACGUGCCAGCCGCCGCGGUAA
rnacentral:rRNA from 1 species